rnacentral:lncRNA from 1 species
GCAGGUCUUGCUGCAGCUGCUGUGCGGGAUGGGGGUGAAGUUCCCAGGUCAAUCGAGUUGUGUCCCUAGGAGGAUUAUGGCUGCCUCUGCUGAGUCAUGCAGGUUGUCAGGGAAGUGGGGGAAAGCCAGCAGUCACAGGCCUCACCCAGCUCCCAUGCAAUCCAAAGGGCCAUUCUCACUCCCACCGUGCCCCCUCUCUGCAACAGCACUGAGUCUGUUUUCAGACAGUGGACAAGCAGGGCUGAGAACUUGCCCCAUGUUACCCACCUUCCAGCUGCAGAAGAAAAGGGCUUUAGUUCUUCCUGCACCUGUGGAGUCUACAUGCCGGAUAUGUGCCCUCCCCUAAGUUCUGGCCAAGAGGCUUCUCAACCAGUUCAAAUUGUUACAAAGUUCAGCUGAAGACUUCCUUCUCCCUGUGGCAUUUUCCCCGAAGGAUCCCUGUGGUGCCAGGCAGAAAUGGCCUGCUUGGGGACCCAGAGAGCUCCAAGGGCCUCUCCCACUGCUUCCUCUACCCCUGUAUUUCGCUUGGCUCUCCAAACUGACUCAGCUCCAGGUAACCUACUACAUCCACAGGUGCCUUGGGCAGGGCACAUGAGAAGGUUCUAGAGAUUAAAUGGAGAUUUAGAAGAUGAGUUUGUCCACACCCAAGACAGUGACCUGCAGGCUGGGUGUGCAGAUUUUGAAACAGAAACAGAGUAAUAAACUUUCCAUUAAAGCAAAAAUGCAAAGGACAGUGUUACAUGCACACAUAAAAUGGAUUUUGCACACAAGUGACUAAAUGGAUAAAUAAUAUCUCUAAAAUAUGCAUCAAGUCUUCUCAGUAGUAUAAGUUAACAAAAUAUCUUAGUUUAUUCAGGCUGCUAUAACAAAAUACCUUAGACUGGGCAAUUUAUAAACAACAGAAAUUUAUUGCUCAUGGUUCUGGAGGCUGGGAAGUCCAAGAUCAAGGAGUCAGCAGAUUUAGGUGGAAGGGAAAAUCAAGCUCCCUCAAGCCUCUUUAACAAGAGACCCUA